UUCGCAAUGCCCGAAAGGGUGACGAAGCGACGCCGCGUGGGUGAGGAAGGCCUUCGGGUUGUAAAGCCCUGUCAGGAGUUAAGAAAUGUAAGUGCGCUAAUAUCGCAUUUAUUUGACGAAGGCUCCAAAGGAAGUCACGGCUAACUCUGUGCCAGCAGCCGCGGUAAUACAGAGGUGGCAAGCGUUGUUCGGAAUUAUUGGGCGUAAAGAGCACGUAGGUGGGUUUGUAAGUCAGAUGUGAAAGCCUUCUGUUCAACGGAAGAAUUGCAUCUGAAACUGCAAGUCUUGAGUGUAGGAGGGGAGAAUGGAACUUCUGGUGGAGCGGUGAAAUGCGUAGAUAUCAGAAGGAACGCCGGCGGCGAAAGCGAUUCUCUGGCCUAUUACUGACACUCAGUGUGCGAAAGCUAGGGGAGCAAACGGGAUUAGAUACCCCGGUAGUCCUAGCCGUAAACGAUGGGCACUAAGUAGAGGGGUUUU
rnacentral:rRNA from 1 species